rnacentral:rRNA from 1 species
CAGCAGCCGCGGUAAUUCCAGCUCCAAUAGCGUAUAUUAAAGUUGUUGCAGUUAAAAAGCUCGUAGUUGAAUUUCGGGGUUAGUAGGUUGGUCAUGCCUCUGGUAUGUACUGGUCUCACUGAUUCCUCCUUCCUGAUGAGCCGUAAUGCCAUUAAUUUGGUGUUGCGGGGAAUUUGGACUGUUACUUUGAAAAAAUUAGAGUGUUUAAAGCAAGCUAACGCUUGAAUACAUUAGCAUGGAAUAAUGAAAUAGGACGUUCGAUCCUAUUUUGUUGGUUUCUAGGAUUGACGUAAUGAUUAAUAGGGAUAGUUGGGGGCAUUAGUAUUCAAUUGUCAGAGGUGAAAUUCUUGGAUUUAUUGAAGACUAACUACUGCGAAAGCAUUUGCCAAGGAUGUUUUCAUUAAUCAAGAACGAAAGUUAGGGGAUCGAAGACGAUCAGAUACCGUCGUAGUCUUAACCAUAAACUAUGCCGACUAGGGAUCGGAUGAUGUUAAUUUUUUAAUGACUCAUUCGGCGCCUUACG